CCUAGCUUCCUAUACGAAGCACCGGAGGCGGGGUAGACUAGCGGGCUGGCCAUGGCGUCAACGGUGCUGGAGGCGACGAGGGUGGCCCAUGAGGACUUGGAGAGGCUGGAGCGCCUCGCGGCGCGCGAGCUGCAAUGGGAGCCCGAUAACCCGCGCGACCGCUUUUUUCAGUCCCACCGCGUCCGCCACAUGCUCGACCUCGUCGUCUCCACCUCCUGCAAGCUCGAAACUUUUGGUCGUUACCUCGACUUGCAUGAGCUUUAUAACGAGUUCAUAAAUUCCAAGUUUGGAACGCUAAUGGAAUACUCGACUUAUGUUGGCUGUUUCUCCUAGAUGGACAAGAUCUCACAUAGUCAUAAAGCUACCAGAUAUGUCAUGCCUUUUCACUAAGACAAUGCAGAGAAUACUUGGAACACAUUUUGGAAUAUCUGACAUCAUUUCUGUAUCGCACAGAGCCAUUGCAAGACGUCGAUAAGAUUUUUUUUAAAGCUGAAGAGUGAAUUUGAGGAACGAUGGGCCAAUGGAGAAAUACCUGGAUGGGGAAAUAAAGGCGCAGAAAACGAGUCUAAAAUAGAUCUUGAUUACUACAGCACAGUUGAAACAGGUCCUUAAUGCUUUGUUCAACCUUUGCAAAAUUAAUAAAAGAAGACAGGAACAAGCAGCCAAAAAUGGAAUCAUCCCUCACUUGAUGAAAUUUGUCAUGUCAGACUCACCUCUGCGGCAGUAUGCCCUGCCUUUGUUGUGUACUUAAAUCUGCUCGAGGAUGAUGCAUGGGCAUGCACGACAUUAGAUUCUAUUGCUGUUUGUUUGGCUCACGAUAAUGAUCACAGAAAAGUGGAACAAGCACUCUUGAAAAGAGGCCAUUCAGAAUUUAAUGAAGUUCUUCCAAGAUUGCCUAGAACAGUUUUUUGGCCAUAUAUUGGACGCUUUCUUGAAGAUAAUAACGAAAUCUUCUAGGCUAAAUAUAACAAUGGCUACCAAUGGUUUAACAACAUUGCUCAUUGCAAGACUUGACCAUUCAAAUUUGGUGGUCGCAAAAGUGUGGAGACUUGAAUUCAUAUAAAGUUAGGCUUAACAUUAGUGCAAACAGUUGUAUUUUAGUUUAGAUUUAGAGUACACUAAUGUAUGCGUUGUUUGACAAUGCUUAUUUAUGAUAUAUUGAAUGGUACUUAUUUAUAUCAUAUUAAUUAUAAUGUUGUUCAAU